GUGCUCAUUUCACAAGUACAUAUACUAAAAUAGGAAUGAAACAGAAAAGGGUAGCAUGGCCACUGCACAAGGAUGACACAAAUUCAUGAAGGGUUCCAUAUUUUA
rnacentral:snRNA from 1 species